CCUACGGGUGGCUGCAGUGGGGAAUAUUGGACAAUGGGCGAAAGCCUGAUCCAGCCAUGCCGCGUGUGUGAAGAAGGCCUUCGGGUUGUAAAGCACUUUCAGUGGGGAAGAAAGCCUUGGGGCUAAUACCCUCGAGGAAGGACAUCACCCACAGAAGAAGCACCGGCUAACUCCGUGCCAGCAGCCGCGGUAAUACGGAGGGUGCGAGCGUUAAUCGGAAUUACUGGGCGUAAAGCGCGCGUAGGCGGUCUGAUAAGCCGGUUGUGAAAGCCCCGGGCUCAACCUGGGAACGGCAUCCGGAACUGUCAGGCUAGGGUGCAGGAGAGGAAGGUAGAAUUCCCGGUGUAGCGGUGAAAUGCGUAGAGAUCGGGAGGAAUACCAGUGGCGAAGGCGGCCUUCUGGACUGACACUGACGCUGAGGUGCGAAAGCGUGGGUAGCAAACAGGAUUAGAUACCCCAGUAGUC
rnacentral:rRNA from 1 species